rnacentral:tRNA from 1 species
GGGCCCGUAGCUCAAUUGGUAGAGCGCAUCCAUGGCAUGGAUGAGGUCGUCAGUUCGAUUCUGAUCGGGUCCA